ACUAAGCGCACUGUGUAAGCCAAUGGGGACAUGAUUUCCGUUCAGAUUACAGGGGAUUAGGAUGUCUUAAGCAGAUAUUCCGUGAUGUUCCAGUGAUGGCAUUAACUGCCACAGCAACUCAUUCUGUUCGUUGAGGACAUUUUAAAAGCUUUAAGAAUUCCCCAUGCUCUUGUCCUCGAAAGAAGUUUUGAUAGGCCCAACUUGAAAUAUGAAGUCAUCGGUAAGACCAAGGAAUCACAGAAGCAGCUUGGAGAGCUACUGAGGAGUCGUUUCCAAAACCAGUCCGGAAUUGUAUACUGCCUUUCAAAAAGUGAAUGCGUUGAGGUAUCAAAUUUUCUGAAUGAAAAAUUUAAGAUGAAGACAGCAUAUUAUCAUGCUGGGAUUGCUGCUCGCCAAAGAGUUGCUGUGCAAAAGAAGUGGUACACAGGAGAGGUUCAAAUCGUAUGCUCGAUACAAAUUGCUUUUUGGGAUUGGACAU